GACGAACGCUGGCGGCGUGCUUAACACAUGCAAGUCGAACGGUAAGGCUCCAGCUUGCUGGGGUACACGAGUGGCGAGCGGGUGAGUAACACGUGGGUGACCUGCCCUGCACUUCGGGAUAAGCCUGGGAAACUGGGUCUAAUACCGGAUAGGACCAUGGUGUGGAUACUGUGGUGGAAAGUUUUUUCGGUGUGGGAUGGGCCCGCGGCCUAUCAGCUUGUUGGUGGGGUAAUGGCCUACCAAGGCGGCGACGGGUAGCCGGCCUGAGAGGGUGGACGGCCACAUUGGGACUGAGACACGGCCCAGACUCCUACGGGAGGCAGCAGUGGGGAAUAUUGCACAAUGGGCGGAAGCCUGAUGCAGCGACGCCGCGUGGGGGAUGACGGCCUUCGGGUCGUAAACUCCUUUCACCAUCGACGAAGGGUUUCUGACGGUAGAUGGAGAAGAAGCACCGGCUAACUACGUG
rnacentral:rRNA from 1 species